GGUAAAAUAAAGCUCUCUGUAAUUGGGGGUUGGACACAAUGGGUGGUACAAAGUGACCGAUCAGGUAUUAUCAGUUAUGCUCACACACCAUGUCAGCCGUCUCAUAGGGGGUUGCAACUGAUGCUGUGAAUGGUAGAAAUCACCGUGCACUCCUUUAUGCAGAAAACGAGCCAGGAGAGUCCUUUUGUCUUGGGCUUACACUGUGGUGAAAUCUUAUUGUUAUAAAAUGC